ACCAGACUCCUACGGGAGGCAGCAGUGGGGAAUAUUGCACAAUGGGGGAAACCCUGAUGCAGCGACGCCGCGUGAGUGAAGAAGUAAUUCGUUAUGUAAAGCUCUCUCAGCAGGGAAGAAAAUGACGGUACCUGAGUAAGAAGCCCCGGCUAACUCCGUGCCAGCAGCCGCGGUAAUACGGAGGAUGCGAGCGUUAUCCGGAUUUAUUGGGUUUAAAGGGUGCGCAGGCGGAGGUGCAAGUCAGCGGUCAAAUUGCGGGGCUCAACCCCGUACUGCCGUUGAAACUGCAUCCCUUGAGUGCGCGAGAAGUAUGCGGAAUGCGUGGUGUAGCGGUGAAAUGCAUAGAUAUCACGCAGAACUCCGAUUGCGAAGGCAGCAUGCCGGCGGCGAUCUGACGCUGAGGCACGAAAGCGUGGGUAUCGAACAGGAUUAGAUACCCCGGUA
rnacentral:rRNA from 1 species